ACCCAAUGCCAGGGACCAGUGGCAGCAACACAUUCAUUACUGUUUUACAAAAUACACCAAGACUUUUACCUGUUCCCAAGCAAGUGGUGGCUAAGGCAUAUGCGGACAGUGAAGAAACCCUCUCAGAAGACUGUCCCUUGGAGGAAGAACCUGUAAGUGCAUAAAUAACUUUACACUAAUUUGUGUAUACUUGUGUACCUAUUCUUUCUGCCUUCAAUAUGAGUUUCAGGAGUCCAUAGCUGGAGAAAGGCUUGAAGAAGAGUCUGCACAAGCAACUGAUUCAGAGACACAGGGUGACAUCCGUUCCCUUUUAUAAAAGGCAUCUUCAACAAAAAAUUGAAUAUUUGGAGUUAAAAAAAUGCAAAUUAAGAGGAGAAAUUCAACUUGACGACUUGAGAAAGAGAAAAUUUUCACUACAGAUCGAGUUGCUUCAACAGGAACUUCAGAGCAAAAGAUGACUUGCUGGCAGUUCUCCAUAAAGACUAAUCACUUAAAUAAAACUACAGGAACUAAGCAUAUGUGUGUUGUCUUUUUUAUUAAACAUUCAAAAAUGGUGCUCCACAAUUCUGUCCCGUGCAGCU